GCCUGCCUUUUGGCUGCCGGGGGACGUCAGUCCCCGGGUCCGUGCUCGCCGGAGACACCUUAGAACUCUGUCUGAAGAUUGUAGUCUGAGAUUAAAUAUAAAUUAUUUAAAACUUUCAACAACGGAUCUCUUGGUUCCGGCAUCGAUGAAGAACGCAGCGAAAUGCGAUACGUAAUGUGAAUUGCAGAAUUCAGUGAAUCAUCGAGUCUUUGAACGCACAUUGCGCCCUCUGGUAUUCCGGAGGGCAUGCCUGUCCGAGCGUCAUUGCUGCCCUCAAGCACGGCUUGUGUGUUGGGCCCCGUCCUCCUUCCGGGGGACGGGUCCGAAAGGCAGCGGCGGCACCGCGUCCGGUCCUCAAGCGUAUGGGGCUUUGUCACUCGCUUUGUAGGCCUGGCCGGCGCUUGCCGAUCAACCAAACUUUUUAUCAGGUUGACCUCGGAUCAGGUAGGGAUACCCGCUGAACUUAAGCAUAUCAAUAAGCGGAGGAAAAGAAACCAACAGGGAUUACCUCAGUAACGGCGAGUGAAGCGGUAAGAGCUCAAAUUUGAAAGCUGGCUCCUUCGGGGUCCGCAUUGUAAUUUGCAGAGGAUGCUUCGGGAGCGGUCCCCAUCUAAGUGCCCUGGAACGGGACGUCAUAGAGGGUGAGAAUCCCGUAUGGGAUGGGGUGUCCGCGCCCGUGUGAAGCUCCUUCGACGAGUCGAGUUGUUUGGGAAUGCAGCUCUAAAUGGGUGGUAAAUUUCAUCUAAAGCUAAAUAUUGGCCGGAGACCGAUAGCGCACAAGUAGAGUGAUCGAAAGAUGAAAAGCACUUUGAAAAGAGAGUUAAAAAGCACGUGAAAUUGUUGAAAGGGAAGCGCUUGCGACCAGACUCGCUCGCGGGGUUCAGCCGGCAUUCGUGCCGGUGUACUUCCCCGCGAGCGGGCCAACGUCGGUUUGGGCGGUCAGUCAAAGGCCCCUGGAAGGUAACGCCCCCUUCGGGGGCGUCUUAUAGCCAGGGGUGCAAUGUGGCCUGCCUGGACCGGAAGGAACGCGCUUC
rnacentral:sRNA from 1 species